CAACAAAAUGACGAUGCUGACAGUCUUUUCGGUUUACAUUUCGGUUGUUUCUUGGUCAUUCCUGGCCAAUGGUUCGAGGGGAUUCAUUUUGAGAUUUUCUGUGUCUCUCAGGAGUCAGAGACAGAGAGAAAGCCUGCAGCUGCUGUGGCCUCCCCUGGUUGCCACGACAACCAAAGCCUGCCUCUCACAUCCACACACACACAUAGCUAGCUACAGAGGAGUGUUUAAGGGGUGUUUUUAUAGCACCACCGGAGAAGUUAGCAUCGCCCUGGUUCCUUCAACAAGAAGCUGAUGGGAUUAACCAGCAGAUACAGCUAGCAGCAGGUGUUCAGCCACCAAAAAGAUGAUGGGAGUAUUUGUGAGAGAUAACGUCUGAACAACCAAAACCACGAUGGCGUUUCACCUGCCAAAAGGUAAUUCCUCCAGGAUGUCAGAGGCUUUUGUUGGGAUUGUUGCAGCCUAAAUUAUUUUUGGGAAGUUAAAGAAAAUAUUUGUUUUUGUAUAAUUCAUUAAAAAUCAAAGGUAACUUGUGUCUUUGAGAAUAAAAUCUCAGUACUUUGGUGAUGUAUGGUUAUUAUUGGUAUUAUAAAAAUACUUGUAUACUGCCAUACAAAGCACAACCGCAGUAACUAUUUAAAGCAUAGUAAUGAGGAAAAUGGGUUCAAAGUUUUUUAUCUUGCCAGCCUAAUGGGUUUUAGGUAUAUUAUAUUUAUGAGGUAAGUUUUCUGUCCAAAAAUCAUGAUGGUUGAUUUGACCUUUGACCCUAAUAAUGUAGUUACUGCACUCUUACUUUGCAUUGCCUUAAACUGUUCUAACCAAAGUGCAGUAACUACAAUGUUUUAUUUUAGCUAUUAUUU
rnacentral:lncRNA from 15 species